rnacentral:rRNA from 1 species
GAUGAACGCUGGCGGCGUGCCUAAUACAUGCAAGUCGAGCGAACAGACGAGGAGCUUGCUCCUCUGACGUUAGCGGCGGACGGGUGAGUAACACGUGGAUAACCUACCUAUAAGACUGGGAUAACUUCGGGAAAACGGAGCUAAUACCGGAUAAUAUAUUGAACCGCAUGGUUCAAUAGUGAAAGACGGUUUUGCUGUCACUUAUAGAUGGAUCCGCGCCGCAUUAGCUAGUUGGUAAGGUAACGGCUUACCAAGGCAACGAUGCGUAGCCGACCUGAGAGGGUGAUCGGCCACACUGGAACUGAGACACGGUCCAGACUCCUACGGGAGGCAGCAGUAGGGAAUCUUCCGCAAUGGGCGAAAGCCUGACGGAGCAACGCCGCGUGAGUGAUGAAGGUCUUCGGAUCGUAAAACUCUGUUAUUAGGGAAGAACAAAUGUGUAAGUAACUAUGCCCGUCUUGACGGUACCUAAUCAGAAAGCCACGGCUAACUACGUG